UUUUUUUUACUUGUUUACUUGCUUGCUUGCUUGCAUCCUCCCUUCCUUGUUUAUUUCUGCCUUCAUAUAAAUUUGUUUACUUGUUUUUUUGUCUGCCUUCAUACAUUGCUUGUUUGCUUGUUUGCUUGUUUGCUUGUUUGCUUGUCAUUCAUUGCUUGUUUGCUUCCUCCCUUCCUUGUUUUUUUUUUCUUUCUGCCUUCAUACAUCAGGCCAUGCAAAAGAUGGAAAAUGAGUUCAUGAUAUAUUUCAUGGUUCUUGCAACCACAAACAAACCUUUUGACCAUGAUGAGGCUAUCAUUAAAAGGUUGAUGGUAGGACUACCAAAUGCUCUGAAUACAUCAAAGAUAUUAAAGGUUAUUUUUGCAAAAGAAGCUGUAUCACGGAAUCUGCUCACUAGUUCUACUUGCUAACUUCUCCGAUGGUUUGACCUAUUGCAUAUUUUAGCUAAAAAUGUGUUGGGUACAACACCUAAGGCAGAUUUCACUACGUAUCUUGUUCCAGGGAUUGCCUCAAAUCUAAAUGAUGUUUUGCCUUUCUCAUUCGAACAACCACCUCAAGUUUAAGAAAGGAACGUUCUUGUAGUCAGCCAGCUUAAUGGUUGUAUCAGAACCAGAGCUUGGAUAUGUUCAAGGGUUACGUCUCUGGAGAAAUACCUCUAGAGAGAUCAAUGAUGAGAUUUUCAAGGGUUAUCAGAAAGGAAAUCCCGAGGGAAGAUAAUGAGAUCGUUGCAGCAUAUGAUUUCUUGAACACAUACAAGAAUGACACUUGAAAUAGACUUACAAAGUUGGUCCAAGUCCCCUUCUCAAGUCAAUUUGGUGUCAGAUUCCUACCUUUAAUUUCAGAAUGUCCGAGGAAAAAAAGAUGUUGUUUGAAUAUGCCAGAGAAAUGCAUACUCUAAACAAGUUUUUGUCUAGACAUCGUGUCGUGUCUCUAACUGGUGAAACUACCGCAAACUCUCUACAAAACCAGUGUGCACUUUUCCAUUGCAGUAGCAAAAGUAGAUUGAUGGAUGUGCUUUUCGGGUAUGAGGCAGGACUGUGAAGUAGAAUGAACCUGAGUAUUGAAAAUUGUAGAGGAAGAAGGAGAAAAUUAGUAUUGACAAACUAUCUAUGCCAUCUCCAAAGAUUAUUCCACGUACAUAUCCAUUAAUUAGUAUUCUGUUUAUGUAUGUCCAAACUGUGAUGAUGAUUGAUUCUGAGGUCAUUUUGAAAAUUUCCAGAAGAAGAGCGUAUGCGCAAAAGAGUAUCAAACUCUAAUCCAUCGGGGAGUACAGUAUCUACAAAUCUAGUGGGGACACUAAAACUGAAUAAACUAGUGACCACUUGUUUACAGCCAAAGCCACCAUUUCAAAUCAAAUAAGAUCAUGUAAGCUGCCAAAGCAUCUCUAGAUACCAAAGAUCAACAACAUGGCCAUGAACCAUGCUAAGCCUAUAUUAAAGAAGCCAUGAACUGGAGAUUGGUUGAAGUUACAGAAAGAAGCCAUGAACUGGAGCAAGUGUUGAUAGGGAGCAAAUUUCAUAGCCAAUACAAACCAUCUGAGCUGCUAUGGUUCAUAAUUUGAUAGAGAUACAACUUACAAGCUUGCAGGAGACUAAAAAUCGUGUGUGAAGAAGAAUGUUGUUCAAACCUCUAAAUAUGUGGCACAGAGGAGACAAGCGAGGUUGUUAGCUUUGGCACGUAGGAGAUGUAGAGAUCAUAGAUGGCGGCGCAUCAACUGAAUUCCUCGGCAAUCACCAAUUGCCACUAGACAACAUUCCAUGUCUGCAUACAUUCAUACAUGCAUACAUACAUUCAUACAUGCAUACAUACAUUCACGUGCAUACAUGCA